AUGUGGUCCGUCCGAGUUCCCCUGAAGAUCCGCAUAUUCAUGUGGCAGUGGAUUCGCGGCCGGGUCCCGUCUGGAGUGGAGGCCUGCAAGCGCAAUGGCCCGGGCACCGGUAUCUGCCCGCUCUGUGGAGUCCCUGAAGACUCGAACCACAUCUUCUUCUCCUGCGUCUCCGCCCAUUUCCUCUGGAGCUGCUUUCGCGAGGUGGUCGGUGGUAGUUGGUGCCACACCAAUUUCCCGGACCUUUUUGCUGAACUCCAGUUGUCCCCCGCGUCCUCUCGCCACAUUAGGUGGCUUGAGGUUGGCGUUCUCGCCUGA
rnacentral:rRNA from 1 species